rnacentral:rRNA from 1 species
AUGACUUGUGGAUAGGGGUGAAAGGCCAAUCAAACUGAGAGAUAGCUCGUUCUCCCCGAAAUGUUUUUAGGAACAGCGUUGCAUAAAAAAGAAGUUUAUGAGAGGUAGAGCUACUGAUUGGGCUAGGGGGCUUCACCGCCUGCCAAACCCUGACAAACUCCGAAUGCUCAUAAAUAUCUGCAGCAGUGAGGCUGUGGGCGCUAAGGUCCAUGGCCGAGAGGGAAAUAACCCAGAAUAGCAGCUAAGGUCCCUAAUACAUGGUUAAGUUGAUCAAACGAGGUGGAGUUUCUAUAACAGCCAGGAUGUUGGCUUGGAAGCAGCCAUUCAUUUAAAGAGUGCGUAACAGCUCACUGGUCGAGAGACUCUGCACGGAAAAUAAUCGGGCAUCAAACCAUGAACCGAAGCUCUAUGAUUGCCACUUGGUGGUAUAUCGGUAGGGGAGCAUUCACUUCAGCGUUGAAGGUGUGUUGCGAAGCAUGCUGGAGCGAAGUGAAAAGAAAAUGUAGGCAUAAGUAACGAUAAAUAAUGUGAAAAACAUUAUCGCCGUAAGACUAAGGGUUCCUGAUCAACGUUAAUCGGAUCAGGGUUAGUCGGGUCCUUAGGCAAACCCGAAAGGGGUAGUUGAUGGAAAACUGGUUAAUAUUCCAGUACUUGCUAUAGUUUCGAUGGAGAGACGGGGUAGUGAAAGGACUGCGUGACCACGGAUGUUCACGUUAAAGGGGGUAGUUAUUUGUUUUGCAGGUAAAUCCGCAAGGCAAGGCGAACCUGAUAGUACCACAAAGCUUCGGCAGCGUGGAUAAUGUCUCUAAUCAGACCUCCGAGAAAAACUUCUAAGGUUAGGCUAUAGCAACCCGUACCGCAAACCGACACAGGUAGUCGAGAUGAGUAUUCUAAGGCGCUCGGGUGAGCCGCGGAGAAGGAACUAGGCAAAUUAACGCUGUAACUUCGGGAUAAAGCGUACCGCAGUGAUGCGGUCUCAGUAAAUUGGUUCAACCAACUGUUUAACAAAAACAC